rnacentral:rRNA from 1 species
GUGAGGAAUCUUCCGCAAUGGACGAAAGUCUGACGGAGCAACGCCGCGUGAGUGAAGAAGGUUUUCGGAUCGUAAAGCUCUUUCGUUAGGGACGAACGUGCUCUUUGUGAAUAAUGAGGAGUAAUGACGGUACCUAAAUAAGAAGCCACGGCUAACUACGUGCCAGCAGCCGCGGUAAUACGUAGGUGGCAAGCGUUGUCCGGAAUUAUUGGGCGUAAAGCGCGCGCAGGCGGGAUAUCAAGUCUGUCUUAAAAGUGCGAGGCUCAACCUCGUGAGGGGACAGAAACUGGUAUUCUUGAGUGUCGGAGAGGAAAGUGGAAUUCCAAGUGUAGCGGUGAAAUGCGUAGAGAUUUGGAAGAACACCAGUGGCGAAGGCGACUUUCUGGACGAUGUCUGACGCUGAGGCGCGAAAGCUAGGGGAGCGAACGGGAUUAGAAACCCGGGUAGUCC